ACACCAACUGUGUACCUGAAUGCACCACCAGUACCUGAACACACCAACUGUGUACAUGAAUGCACCACAGGUAUCUAACACACCAACUGUGUACCUGAAUGCACCACCAGUACCUGAACACACCAACUGUGUACAUGAAUGCACCACAGGUAUCUAAACACACCAGUACCUGAACACACUGCCUGCACCUAAAUACAUCACUGGUACCUGCUCACAGCUUGUACACCUGAACACACCACCUGCACUGAAAGGCAACAUCUGUACAUUAACACAUCAUUGGCAUUUGAACGUAACACCGGUCCUUGAAUACACCACCAGUACCUGAACAGGAAGAAUGCACCUGAAUGCAAUGGUACCUGAAUGCCCCACUGGUAUGUGAGCUCAUGGACUUGAACACAUCAUGAUGCAGAGGGAAGUGUCUAUGAGAUGAACGGAUGACCAGUGAACGCAUCGGCUUCAUCUAAACUGUUGUGAUGUUUCUGUGGAGUCCAGUCGUUCAGACCUCAGGUCCAACUGGAGGCCGUGCAGUCCUGGACCUGAUCCCAGUUCCUCAAAACCUUCGAUAAAGCUUCCGCCUCUAUAUUGUGUCUUUAAUCGUCCAUUGGUCAAACGUCAGGUUUAAAUUUAAAGUAUUGCUUCAUUAGUUUUUGUUCUAAAUAAAUCUUGAACUCUAACAUCUGUCAGUUUAACAAAACUGAAGUGAAUUCAUCACAUUUAAUCUGCUUAAUUUCUCUGAUGUCCAGAUAAUAGACAUUAAAAUACUGUGACUUAAGUUUCCUGUUUACAGAAGAAAUCAAUAAAAC